rnacentral:rRNA from 1 species
UACGUAGGGUGCGAGCGUUAAUCGGAAUUACUGGGCGUAAAGCGUGCGCAGGCGGUUUUGUAAGUCAGAUGUGAAAUCCCCGGGCUUAACCUGGGAACUGCAUUUGUGACUGCACGGCUAGAGUGUGUCAGAGGGGGGUAGAAUUCCACGUGUAGCAGUGAAAUGCGUAGAUAUGUGGAGGAAUACCGAUGGCGAAGGCAGCCCCCUGGGAUAACACUGACGCUCAUGCACGAAAGCGUGGGGAGCAAACAGG